rnacentral:snRNA from 1 species
GUGCUUGCUUCGGCAGCACAUAUACUAAAAUUGCAAAGAUACAGAGAAGAUUAGCAUGGCCCCUGCACAAGGAUGACAUGCAAUUCGUAAAGCGUUCCAUAUUUUU